CACGUAGUUAGCCGUGGCUUGCUUUUUCGGUACCGUCAAUGUCUAUGAUUAUUCACCACAAACCCUUUCGUCCCGAAUCACAGAACUUUACAAUCCGAAGACCUUCUUCGUUCACGCGGCGUUGCUCCGUCAGACUUUCGUCCAUUGCGGAAGAUUCCCCACUGCUGCCUCCCGUAGGAGUCUGGACCGUGUCUCAGUUCCAGUGUGGCCGUUCAUCCUCUCAGACCGGCUACUGAUCGUCGGCUUGGUGAGCCGUUACCUCACCAACUACCUAAUCAGUCGCAAACCCCUCUUAAGGCGAUAGCUUUCUUGUAGAGGCCACCCUUUCUUCUAUGCACCAUGCGAUGCUUAAGAACAUAUUCGGUAUUAGCAGUCGUUUCCGUCUGUUAUCCCCAUUCCUUAAGGCAGGUUGUUUACGUGUUACUCACCCGUUUGCCUACUGAAAAUUAAUAAAAGAGACAAGCUUCUUUCAUUCUCUUUCCGUUCGACUUGCUAUGUGUUAAGCACGCCGCCAGCGUUCU
rnacentral:rRNA from 1 species